rnacentral:rRNA from 1 species
AGCGGCGAACGGGUGCGUAAUACAUGGGAAUCUGCCUUUUAGUGGGGAAUAACCCGGCGAAAGCCGGGCUAAUGCCGCAUAAGAUCUUCGGAUGAAAGCGGGGGAUCGUAAGACCUCGCGCUGAAAGAUGAGCCCAUGCCGGAUUAGCUAGUUGGUGAGGUAACGGCUCACCAAGGCGACGAUCCGUAGCUGGUCUGAGAGGACGGCCAGCCACACUGGGACUGAGACACGGCCCAGACUCCUACGGGAGGCAGCAGUGGGGAAUAUUGGACAAUGGGCGAAAGCCUGAUCCAGCGACGCCGCGUGUGUGAAGAAGGCCUGCGGGUUGUAAAGCACUUUCGAUGGGAACGAAAUGUGCCGGGCUAAUACCCCGGCAAGCUGACGUUACUCAAUGAAGAAGCACCGGCUAACUCUGUGCCAGCAGCCGCGGUAAUACAGAGGGUGCGAGCGUUAAUCGGAAUUACUGGGCGUAAAGCGCACGUAGGUGGC